CAACAGCAAUUACUUUUGCACUACCCUAAUAGUAAACUAAUUUCUUAUUGACGAAAGAAAAAUAUUUUUAAGUAAAUUUAGUGAAGCUAAGUGUACGGUGUUUAUUAAGUCUACAGUAGGAUACAGUGACGUCCUAGGCCACUCACCACUCACUCCCUGACUCACCCAGACCAAUUACUAGUCCUGGAAGCUCCACUCAUGGUAAGAGUCACAUCUCUCGGUCGUUCUCAGCAGUUUCCAGAGAGACUCAAGCUGUUGCCAGGGAGCAUCCAGCAGACGGGAAGACAGAUGAUGCUGGAGACUGAGGAGCGACCUGCUGGAAGGAGAACAGUCCUUGGGGCGGAAUUCUGAGUGGGAUCCAACACAUUCAACAGCCGAUUGUGGAAUGAACAAACAACAGCUCAGCGCUUCCUUCUCCAAUGGGAUUAACUCUGCUUUCUCCUGCCCAGAGGGGGGGUUGGCCGCAGAGGAGCCAGGACAGUGCUCUGUCCCCUGUGUUCCAGUCCACAUCCCCCUCACCCCCGCCUGUCCUCAUGGUCUACGUGCCCAUGGGGAUACACUGGCCUGUGCAUUGCUUCCUGCUGGGUCUCAGACUCGGGGCUGUGGCAGAUGGGGACAGGGCCUGUCCUGGCACCAUCUGCCAAUUCCCUUUGUACUCCCAGUCCAUGAGGAAGUUGACUCUGCCCUGAAAACGACUGUUCCUGUGGUCCAUAAACAAAGGAAUGGUGAGCCAGGCAUGAGCUGUGGGCCCCAGGGGUGGGGCUGGGGGUCACCGUAGCAGAGGUAGCUGAGACUGUGGGAGGGAGGCUGGUGCCUCCUUGGUCCCCCUGAGGAUUUCAUGCCUGAUUUCUGGCACUGCCCAGCCUCUGCUCCAACCUCUCUGGAGGCAAAGGAGGUAACAGGAGGGCACAAGGCCAGGAAGUGUCAUUGGGAGCAAGGAAGGCGGCUGGUGGGCUAGCAGGAAAUGGGAUGGUCUGUGAGACCAGAUUAGUAGCAGAGGAGGAAGCAAC